GGAUAAGUAAGAACUGGUCUCUGCUGUUUAGGAGUCGAUGGAGUAGGACAGAAUAUGAUAUUCAGUUUGUUCUGUAAACAUCUUUGUAGUAGCCAUCACAGGUUGGGUUACCAGGAAGUAGACUCUGAGGGGAGAUUAGUGUGAAAGACUUGCCCUGUUCUCUUGUGAUCGGCCCGUGUGAGGAGUGAAGGACACAGGAUUGAGUAGAGGGGGAAGUUGGUCUGUGACGCCAUCACAACAAAGGCUUUAGCCCACCCCUUGGAGCUGGGAUGACUUUUUAGAGGCGUCUUGAGUUGGUAUGAGUGGCUGGGCCUUCAGCUCCCAGCAUCUGUUAGUCAUGGGUGCAAACCACUCCUGGAAGGGGACGUGAUUUGGGGCUGUCCUUUCUUUAACUGAGACGUGCUUCAGAGCGUGUUGACAGCUGAGGGUUUCUGCCAGCAGCACCACCAGCAGCCGGAAGGGAGUGGACUGAGCUUCCGUUCCUGAAGGGGGAUCUGGGCACCAUCAGUGUCCACCACGGUACCUACCCUUCUGAGUCACUUGGAGACUAAAAAUAUUUAUUAAUUCGCUAAAUAUUAUUACGUGCUGCUGUGUGCGUCCAACACUGCUAGGUACAAUGGUGUAGACCUGAGCAAGACAGAUGUGAUCCCUGCGCUCGUGGGGCUUACAGUCUAUGAGGAACUAAACAGGCAUUAAUCAAGCUAUUACGAAAAUAAGUACGGAAAUUGUGACACAGUGAUGCCUGGAUCUGCAGCAGCCAUCUUGCAACCAUGAGGCAACACAAUUGAAGAUGAAAAACCAACAGCUAAAGAUGGGAAAAUAGAAGGACAGAAAACCUCAGUUGUGGAUGUCAACAUUGAGCUGCUGAACCAAUGACUGCAACCACCUGCCUCUGGACUCUUGUUACAGGAGAAAAAGUAAAGCCUUAUGGAUUUCUUCCCCUGGGGCCAUGCGAUGAAACCAGCUGUGUCGUCCUACAGAGAACAGUGUACAUGCCCCCCCUUCUGAGAGGUGAAGAGAAGUCCUUUGCUCCCUACGGUAAACAAAUUCUCCUUGGGGCACAAAGGAGAGGGAUCCUGGGCUCUCCCCUUUCGGGGAGCAAUCAGUUUCUCCGCAGGGAAGGUAAGACAAGCCUCCAGCUUUACCUCCCACGACAUAAAAAACACGUAGCUCAGGAGGGUAGAGCUCUCUGGAAUUCUCAUUGUCACCACUGGUUCGUUCACUUCCAGCCUUCUUCUUUUAGCCCAGAUCCCAAAUGUCAGUAAAAUUUGUUCAGAAAACCCUAACUGUACAGAAACCGAAAUUUUCUGUCACCCGCAGACCCUUGCCUCCAUCGUGUUGCACUCUGCUGGGUUCCUGUUACCUUCCUGGUUCCUCCAGGCGUUUGGGUCUGACCCCUCUCCCCAUGUCUCUCGUUAAUUUAAAUUAACCUUCAGUGAUAGCUCGCAGCCACCAAGCCAUCGUAAUCAAUACUUAGACUAAAGAACAUAAAGGCGCUACCACCCAGACCUCUAAAAAGAGCCUUGAAAUAGGUUAGGUUUGUGUGAAUAAAGAAUUUAUAAUAUGAUUUUUUGGACUAGAAAUCAAAUCAAAAUGAAAAGAUAAUUUCUUACUACUUGCCGUAGGCUGCAUGUCUGUGUCCCCCCAGAAUCUGUCUGUUAAAUCCUAACUCCCCACGGGAUGGUGUUAGGAGGUGAUUAGGUCAUGAGGGUGGAGCCCUCAUGAAUGGGAUUAGUGCCCUUAUUAAAAAGAGACUUCAGAGGGCUCUCCGGCCCCUUCCACCAUGUGAGGACACACAAGAAGAUGCUAGUCUGCAACCAAGCAGCCGGCCCUCGCCAGACACCAAAUCUGCUGGCGCCUUGAUAUUGGACUUCCAGCCUCCAGAACUGUGAGAAACAAAUUUCUGUUGUUUAUAAGCCGCCCACUCUCUGGUAUUCUGUUAUAGCAGUCUAAACAGACCAAGACACUAUUCCAAAUUAUGUAGAAAACAAUUUUAUCUACAUGGCAAUUUAUCACGUAGAAAAGUGUGUUAAUCUUGUCACAGAAUCUUAGCUGCUGGUUAGGAGCAAGCAACACCGUCUUUUCUUUGGUCAGUCUGUCCUCAGACAUUACACGAGGGACAGUUGGGUACAGUGACGGCCUCUCAAGCUGGACCACCUGGGUCCAAUGCGUCCACCACCCUUGACGAGCCUGUGAUCUUGGGCAAGUUACUUGACUUCUCUGAGCCUCACUUUCAUUGCCUGUGAAGUGGAGACAGAAUAAGGCACACCACACAGGAUCAUUGGGAAGCCCAAAGGACGUGACGUGAACAUGCGGACAGCACACUCCAUAUGCAAGCCCACUCCACUUUGACAUUCCUGAUGUCAACUUCCUAUCUGGUGGGGCUGACGCUGUGACUCUGGCUGGUGGUGUUAGGUGAGACCACACCUGACACAACCCCUCAGAUCUCGAGGAACAAGCAAGCCUAGGAGGGUCACUGAAUGCUGGGGACACACUCACUAUCACAAAACGUUCAAGAGCUUCAGACAGGGGCUGAGCCACGGCCUCUGAUUGCGAAAGGACUGAGAACCCCUUGAGAUGGCCUGGAACCCUGCCUGCGUUCGGGACUCAGGAGCACGCAGCCAUCAGGAGGGCUGCAAGAGGGAGCAACAUGCCUGAGAGAAAGUCACCAGAAGCGAGGAGCCUGGCAGGGGCCUGUGACGGGCAGCAGGGCCGGCCAUUAGAGAGGACCUGAUUCCCUCAGUGGAAGUCUUACAGGAGCAAUGCCUGACCUCCCCCACAAGGAGGAAUUCUGCCAGCGGACAGCCCUCCCCUGUGAACUCUCAGAUCUGGAGGCUCUUCUCUGGGCCUCCAGCCUCCUGUAUUUUAGACUUGCCAGGCUCCAAGAUCACGUGAGCCGAUUCCUUAAAAUAAAUCCCCCCUCUACACACACAGACACACACUCACACACACCCUAUUGGUUCUGCUUCCCUGGACAAUCCUGACUUACACAAUCACGCUUAGUGUUUCAAAGUUCAGUUGGUGAUUUAAUUGACCGUGCCUCCAGCUCUCUGUGACCCAGCAUAGCAGAGUGCAAGGGUGAGCCCAGAACAUCUUGGCUGUCUCUUGCACCAUGCCUCCCAGCCCCCCCUGUGGUACUGCGGUCAUGCAUUUUGGGUGGAGGGACCCCGCCCCUCACUGGAGGCCCACCUCCAGGAUGCAGGGCAAUUUGCUUUACUCGAAGACCACCAGUUUAAAUGUAAAUCUCAUCCAAAAUCACGCUCACAGAAGCAUCCAGAAUAAUGUUCGACCAACUGUCUGAACCCUGGGAUCCCACCCAGCGGACACGUAAAAUUAACCAUCACAACUAUUCCAUUUGUUCUGCAAAAGUGAAAAAGACGCCCUUUUUUGUCAAGAUAGACCCUAAGUACAAAAGAGUCUGUGCACUUUCUUGGGACAACAUAAUCCACUGGCAUAUGGAUCUUCCCACCUGCUGGGGUGCUGGUUUAUGAUACGGCCAAAACUGGGUCUUCCUCUUGCAGUUCAGGGGUCCUUGCGUCUGAGCGAGCUGAGGAAGGAGGGAGGGACUGGCGCACAACCAAAUUCCCAGGCUUGAACUGGCCCCAACCACCUCUGGGAAGCAAAACAUCCAGAAAAAGGCAAAUUAGCAGGACCUGUUUCAGGAAGAAGACAAGUGCUGUCCAUUGCAGUUUUCACACACAUUCUGGGCGUGGUACCUCAGGAAAAUUGGAAAUCAGAGCAGAGGAGAAAUUAGGGAGGUGAAUGGCAUCCUGAUCUUGCCUUGCAGGACCUGGGCCCCGUUCCUGAUGGUAAGGAUGAAGACAGAAACCCCAAUCCUUGGGCUGCUAUUGGCUCAGCCUCAUGGGAAACAGAUUCUGAGUUUCUCUCUUGUCAUUGCCUUAAAAUUUUCAGCAACUUAGUAGCUUCACUAUAAAAUGGUUAUUGUAAAAUACUUGUAUUAAAUUUAUUUUUAUGUUUCUUUUAGGAAAAUGAA
rnacentral:lncRNA from 1 species